GGAUGAAGCACGAGUAACAUCGAGUGAAGGUCCGAACCAGUGUAUGUUGAAAAAUACUUGGAUGAGUUGUGGAUAGGGGUGAAAGGCCAAUCAAACUUGGAGAUAUCUUGUUCUCUCCGAAAUAACUUUAGGGUUAGCCUUGACUUUCAGACUUCUGGGGGUAGAGCACUGGAUUCCCAAGGGGGCCUACCGGCCUACCGACGGAAACCAAACUCCGAAUACUAGAAGUUAAGUCAGGAGAUAGACAGUGGGGGAUAAGCUUCAUUGUCGAGAGGGGAACAGCCCAGAUCGCCGAUUAAGGCCCCUAAUUCUAUGCUAAGUGAGUAAGGAUGUGAAGUUUCACAGACAGUUGGAAUGUUGGCUUAGAGGCAGCCACCAUUUAAAGAGUGCGUAACAGCUCACCAACCGAGAAAUUUUGCGCCGAUAAUAAACGGGACUAAGCAUAGAGCCGAAAUCGCGGGUGUCAUACAUUAGUAUGGCGCGGUAGGAGAGCGUAGUAUGUGCGGUGAAGAUAUACCGUAAGGAGUGUUGGAGCGCAUACUAGUGAGGAUGCAUGGCAUGAGUACACGAUAAAGGAAGUGAGAAUCUUCCUCGCCGAAAGCCUAAGGUUUCCAGGGUAAAGCUCGUCUUCCCUGGGUUAGCCGGCCCCUAAGCCGAGGCAGAAAUGCGUAGGCGAUGGAAAGCAGGUUAAAUAUUCCUGCGCCACCUAAAACUAUGGUGAUGGGACGACGAAGUAUGUUAAGCACGCGAACUAUUGGAUGUUCGUUUCUCUAUG
rnacentral:rRNA from 1 species